rnacentral:rRNA from 1 species
UACGGGGGGUGCGAGCGUUGUCCGGAAUCACUGGGCGUAAAGGGCGCGUAGGUGGUUUGAUAAGGGUGUGGUGAAAGUCCGGAGCUCAACUCCGGAUCUGCCGUGCCGACUGUCAAACUCGAGGGCUGUAGAGGCAGACGGAAUUCCGGGUGUAGCGGUGGAAUGCGUAGAGAUCCGGAGGAAGACCGGUGGCGAAGGCGGUCUGCUG